AUUGAACGCUGGCGGCAGGCCUAACACAUGCAAGUCGAACGGUAACAGGAAGCAGCUUGCUGCUUCGCUGACGAGUGGCGGACGGGUGAGUAAUGUCUGGGAAGCUGCCUGAUGGAGGGGGAUAACUACUGGAAACGGUAGCUAAUACCGCAUAAUGUCGCAAGACCAAAGAGGGGGACCUUCGGGCCUCUUGCCAUCGGAUGUGCCCAGAUGGGAUUAGCUUGUUGGUGGGGUAACGGCUCACCAAGGCGACGAUCCCUAGCUGGUCUGAGAGGAUGACCAGCCACACUGGGACUGGGACACGGUCCAGACUCCUACGGGAGGCAGCAGUGGGGAAUAUUGCACAAUGGGCGCAAGCCUGAUGCAGCCAGGCCGCGUGUAUGAAGAAGGCCUUCGGGUUGUAAAGUACUUUCAGCGGGGAGGAAGGGAGUAAAGUUAAUACCUUUGCUCAUUGACGUUACCCGCAGAAGAAGCACCGGCUAACUCCGUG
rnacentral:rRNA from 1 species